UGACCUCUGUAGACUUGUGUUGGUAUGUGACCUAGAACUGUAAAUGCUCUGGAAGAUGUUAGAUGAUCCAUGAUAGCCCACUGAUGAGUUCCCACCUCUGGUUUGCGCUCCUGCAUGUUCUUUGUGGGUUCCUUCCAUUCUUAUUAUCCCGUGUGGUGUUGAAAAGGAUCCUUAGCCAGAUACCUCUAAAGAAGCAGAUGCUCUCCUUCCACGCUCCGUAUCUCUGGAGUGGAUUUCCUUUUUUUUUUUUCCUUCCCUAUUUCUUAAUAUGUAAUUAAAAAAAUAUGUAUUGAUCACUAGUACAGGUUGCAACACCUGGAGAAACAGAUGAGAAGAUUGAAGUUGCAGAAUCACGGAAUCAUAAAGGUUGGAAAAGACUUCUAAGAUCACCAAGUCCAACUCCCACUCCAUCCCCACCAUGCUCGCUAAGCUAUGGCAUUGAAUGCUGCAUCUCCAUGUUUCUUGAGCACCUCCAAGGACAGUGACUCUGCGACCUCCUUUGGCAGUCUGUUCCAGUGCCUCGCUACUCUUUCUGACAAGAAAUUCUUCCAAAUAUCCAACCUGAACCUCCCCUGGCACAACUUGAGGCCAUUACCUCUCUGUUCAUCUGUAUAUCACUGUUAACUGCGAAAAGGCCAACCCCCACCUCACUACAGUGUCCUUUCUGGCAGUUGCAGAGAGUGGUAAAGUCUUCUCUGAGCACAUUGGGAACCCUGAAAGCCCAUGAGAAGUGGCUCUAUUGAUCAGGGCUUAGUCUGAAUUUCAUACUGUGAUGGCUUGCAGCAAAUGCCUGUAUGUAGAUUUACUGAUGAGAUAGAGAAAUACAAAAGGUGGAGAGAGAGGACAGCAGGUUUUCUGCUCUGUCCCCAGUGCUUACGUGUCACUGUGUGUGCAGUCAGCCCUUCAGUUCUUGACCUCGGGCCCAGCAAGGCAGGAAGCUGAAGCAGGAGCGUGCUGUGGUUAGCAUGGGCUCUCAGAGGGCUGCGGUCAACAUCACCCUGAUGAAAGAUGCGAUAGUGUUCACAGAGGGCUUUGCAUUAUAUCCCACCACAUGUCAUCACAGGAAGUAGCUGCUGCCUGUGAUGGUGAGGUGUCUGUGCAGGUGGGCUGCUGCCUCGGCAAAGUCUCCUGCUCCCCCCCAGCUGUUGGAGCAGAUGAAGCUCUUGCAUGGACAGAUGAAACAUCAUUUUGAUUAAGAGGGAAAUAAAAGCUUUGCUUGAUCCUAAAAUUGGCCAAGCUCAGCUCUUGGAGCUUGUAGUGUCAUUAAAUUCACCAAGCAAGAAACACCUCUUGGGAGCAGCGCAGGGAGAAGGAACAGGAUUUUACCCAUCUGUUUAUUCAUUUCUGCUCAUAAACUAAAUCUUCUCAUUUCCUGACACCGUUUUCAUUGCGUCAUGUUCUUAAAUACCCGCAGAAAGGUGGCAAAAAUGAUUUCAUCUGCAUGUUAAUAUGGAGUACACGUUAAACCAAUACUGAUGCUUUUUGUUCAGAGACACACAAGAAAGGGCUAAGUUAUCUUCCGGCAAAGGAAGAAAUUAGUAGAUCUUGAAUUAACAGAUUAUGUGUGUCCAAGCCCUUGAGGACUUCCAGUUUAGCUCAUCUGUGAAAGCUCACAUGCUCCACUGGCUGAGCUGCCCAAACACAGCCCGAAGGCCCAAACAAGGCUUUCCAUCACCAAGUCUGCAGCAAAUCAGAUGGACAGAGGUUGCACAUGGGUUUUUCCUACUUUACUUUUCAGAUUUAAUUUUGAUACAAUUAGAUUGCACACGCAUCUGCAACUGUUACAUGAUUUGAAAGUUGCAGGCAUACUUAGAAGCAAAUAUCUCUGUCACCAUCAUUUUCACCUACUUCUUUGGCAGCAGCCCUUCAGCCUCCCCAAUGAAGACCUCUGAUUCAUCCUUACCCAUCCAGCACCCCCUGGUCUGGCUGCACCCCAGCACUGAGCUUCAGCCCUUCUUGGCUAGCUGUGCCCAGUGGCAUCAAGUAGAGGACAUUUUCCUCCUCCUGAGCUUCUCAUCAAUGAAAUAACAAGUCUUACAGCAAGGGUCGUGCUACAGUCUGCAUCUGCAACAUGAUGACAGCUGUGCAAAAGCUGUGGUUGGAAGGAGGAAGCCCCAAAACCCGUGAUGAACCUUGAAAAUCUGUGAGCAAAGGGCUGGGUUACAUGAAGAUGAGUGACCCAACCAAGGGAGAAUCAUAGCCCAGUGCUGCAUAUCCAGCUCCUGGACACAGCAAAUUGCUGCCGGUGCCCAAGAGACAUUGGGAAUGGAAGAAUAAGGUGUGUGAAGUGGGUACUGCGUGUUGAGGGUGGGAUCACCAUGGAGAUCUGGCCAGGUCUUCCAGCCAGGAGUUCAAGGUGCCCUUGAACCUUGUAGAAAUGACCAUGUGCAUGCCUCCCUGGGCUUUCCCUGGGCCAAGCCUUUCCCACCAUGUUGGAUCUCCACGGAGAAGACCAAGCUCUGGUCUGAUGAUGACUGCUCUGAUUUCUCCUACCUGGGAGCAAGCAACCAAGACAAUCUCAUUAAAAAAUGUG
ensembl:lncRNA